GGAGUUGUGGCUCAGUGGUAGAGUGCUUGCCUAGCACGUAUGAGGCACUGGAUUCAAUCCUCAGCACCA
rnacentral:tRNA from 1 species